GAUAAACGCUGGCGGCGUGCAUGAGACAUGCAAGUCGAACGGACGAUCGGGGCUUGCUCUGAUCGUUAGUGGCGGACGGCUGAGUAACGCGUAGGUGACCUGCCCCGAAGUGGGGGAUAACUGCCCGAAAGGGUGGCUAAUACCGCAUGUGGUGGUUCGUUCAAUCGACCCAUCAAAGCAGCAAUGCGCUUCGGGAGGGGCCUGCGUCCGAUUAGCUCGUUGGUGGGGUAACGGCUCACCAAGGCGACGAUCGGUAGGUGGUCUGAGAGGACGAUCACCCAGACUGGGACUGAGACACGGCCCAGACUCCUACGGGAGGCAGCAGUCGGGAAUCUUGCGCAAUGGGCGAAAGCCUGACGCAGCGACGCCGCGUGAGGGAUGACGGCCUGG
rnacentral:rRNA from 1 species